rnacentral:rRNA from 1 species
GACGAACGCUGGCGGCGUGCUUAACACAUGCAAGUCGAACGAGUGGCGAACGGGUGAGUAACGCGUAUCAACCUGCCCGAUGGAGGGGGAUACAUACUGGAAACGGUAACUAAUACCGCAUACCAUCGGAUGUGCCCAGAGGGGAUUAGCUAGUAGGUGGGGUAACGGCUCACCUAGGCGACGAUCCCUAGCUGGUCUGAGCGGAUGACCAGCCACACUGGAACUGAGACCCGGUCCAGACUCCUACGGGAGGCAGCAGUGGGGAAUAUUGCACAAUGGGCGCAAGCCUGAUGCAGCCAUGCCGCGUGUAUGAAGAAGGCCUUCGGGUUGUAAAGUACUUUCAGCGAGGAGGCGUUACUCGCAGAAGAAGCACCGGCUAACUCCGUGCCAGCCGCAGCGGUAAUAC